UGCAAUCAACGAUGAAAAUUUUAUCUAAAAUUGUAAUGAGUUAGUUUCAGUGAUUAAUUUGAUAAAUAAUCACCAUCUUUCGGCUGAGAUUGCA
rnacentral:snoRNA from 1 species